AUCUAGCUGUAGAGUCCCAGAUGAGACGAAAUGCGCAUUCUGGAU
rnacentral:hammerhead_ribozyme from 1 species